GGCUAGAUUGCGUUGAAACUGCGGUUCUCGUACGAUCACAGAAGGUAAGCAACGUCGAACCUGAUCAGUACCUAGAUGAGUGAUCGCUUGAGAAUACCAGGUGCUGUAAG